rnacentral:rRNA from 1 species
AUGCCAGAUUCCAUCACUUGGAAACUCACUACUAGUGGCCACUACUCCACAGACUCGGCAUACAGGGCUCAGUUUCUUGGCUUGGUGGACACGGAUAUGAAUCAAAAUGUGUGGAAGAACUGGGUGCCCCCAAAGUGUAAGUUUUUCGCUAGGCUUGUUAUCAACAAUAGAAUUUGCACGGCUGACAGACUCCACUGCCGUGGGUGGACGAAUUGCAAUCUUUGUCUACUAUGCCAACAAGUUCAGGAAUCGGCGGCCCACCUCCUUUUCCAAUGUCGGUAA